ensembl:lncRNA
CGUCCCCUCAUCUAGAGCAGCAUAUUUUAAUUCCUCACUGUGUUAAAGAUUUAAUCCUCAUUUGCCUGAGGCCCUCUGGGCACAAAGCACUGACAUUUGGAAUAAUUGUUGUUGCAGGGUAAUCUCACGAGGGGGUACAGAGGCAGAGAGAGGAUCUGCGGAAAGGACUAUGUCAGCUUUUAUUUAUUUGCACAGGAAUCGCCAGAGGCAUCUCCUCCUCAUCACAAUUAUGAAGCUGGCCCUGAGAGAGAGAGAGAGAGAAAGAGAGAGAGAGAGAGAGAGAGAGAGAGAGAGAGAGAGAGACUGCAAAAGAAAGAACUGAAACUUGCCACGGUUUGCUAAACAAAUGGCCAUACUGGCGGGGUUGAUUCCACCGGUGUGCCAUUCCUGCCCUGUUUACCUGUUAAUAACUCUAUCAGUCCCUCGAGCCGCCGGAGCCCACCUGCAGCACCGCCACACAAGACGAGCAUGCCACACCCUCACCCAGAGCAAUGCCUGCUGGGAGCCGGCAGCAGAUGUUUACCUGGCACAGGUGAGGCCCUGAGAUGAGACGAGAACAGCAAACAAGUGUUAAAGCAUGUGUACAGCCCACACACACACACACAGACAUACACGCAUGCAGAAUACAGCUGUGCUGAGACGCCUGUCAGACCGAGCACUGAGCCGUAUACAGCGCUCAACAGAUUCACCACAAAAACCAGCCUGAACUCCUUCAGAAAAAAAAGACAUGUUUGUAUGGAGAAAAAAACAUCAUCAUUCCCAGCGUUUCCCAGGCCGUACGUGAGCUCGCUGAGGCCUGAGACUGGCGGUAAUGGGCUGUUUAUGUGUUUAUUUGUUUGUUUGUUUGUGUGAGUUGGAAGUGAGGGAGGAAUGAUGAACGAGAGCUCAUUUCCUUCGACGGCCUCCGUAUCACAGGAUGGAUGAGAGCGGAGAGAGCGUUCUAUUCACGCGGACGGAGGGGGCAGUUAACCUGUUAGUGUUCCACUGUUCUGCCCGCAGUACACUGCGUGUUUUUGAGGGUUAACUUUGUGACAUACAACAACUCCUUGGAAAGCUGAGAUUCUUGUUAUUCGAAUGAUGCAAACCAUUUUAAGAUACAAUCAACACAGCAGGUACAAUCAGCAUCUUUCUCAAACCGCAAACAAGGCUUCAUGCUGUGAUCCCAUUGCGUUUUCCAGCUAAUAGCUCCCAGUUAUAGUCAUCUGCAGGCAUCUGUUUAAAAAAACAAAACAAAAAAAAAGUUUUCUUACUUCUUUUUCAGUAUGUUCAAAGUUCUAUUACGCAAUACCAGUAAGACUUACAGUGAUUCUGAGAGUGUCACCUUUCAAAAAAGACCAAAGCCAUCCAUAUACUCCAAAUGGUUCAAGAACAGCAUGAAAUGUACUUUGGGAAUGCCUUUUUAAGGAAUGCUAAUGUGUUAAUUACUUAGGACUGAUUAGUCCACUGAGUGCCGCCCCGUGGCAGCCAUAUUGGGCCGCCCGCUCCGGGGUUCACAGGUUAGAUUCACAUCACAGAGUCUAAUUGUAAUUGAUCUUGGUGGUUUAACUCUGUGAUCUCAGAUAAAGAAUACUGCUAUCACUGAACUUGUGUGAGUAUGUCUUGUAGAAAAUGAACGAAAUGCAGACUGAAGUCAG